AACGCGAAAGUCCCGCAAGGGAUUAGUAGAGUGGCAAACGGGUGAGUAACGCGAGGGUGACCUGCCUUCGAGCGGGGGAUAACGUUUCGAAAGGAACGCUAAUACCGCAUGACAUCCUGCCUUUGAACAGGUGGAGAUCAAAGCUGGGGAUCGCAAGACCUAGCACUUGAAGAGGGGCCCGCGUCUGAUUAGCUAGUUGGUGAGGUAACGGCUCACCAAGGCGACGAUCAGUAUCCGGCCUGAGAGGGCGGACGGACACACUGGGACUGAGACACGGCCCAGACUCCUACGGGAGGCAGCAGUGGGGAAUUGUUCGCAAUGGGCGCAAGCCUGACGACGCAACGCCGCGUGGAGGAUGAAGACCUUCGGGUCGUAAACUCCUUUCGAUCGAGACGAAAGACUUUCGGGUGAAUAAUCCGGGAGAGUGACGGUACCGAGAGAAGAAGCCCCGGCUAACUCCGUGCCAGCAGCCGCGGUAAUACGGGGGGGGCAAGCGUUGUUCGGAAUUACUGGGCGUAAAGGGCUCGUAGGCGGCCAACUAAGUCGGACGUGAAAUCCCUCGGCUUAACCGGGGAACUGCGUCUGAUACUGGAUGGCUUGAGUGUGGGAGAGGGAUGCGGAAUUCCAGGUGUAGCGGUGAAAUUGCGUAGAUAUCUGGAGG
rnacentral:rRNA from 1 species